rnacentral:rRNA from 1 species
UUGUUGGUGGGGUAACGGCCUACCAAGGCUACGACGGGUAGCUGGUCUGAGAGGACGACCAGCCACACUGGGACUGAGACACGGCCCAGACUCCUACGGGAGGCAGCAGUGGGGAAUCUUGCGCAAUGGGCGAAAGCCUGACGCAGCAACGCCGCGUGAGGGAUGAAGGUCUUCGGGUUGUAAACCUCUUUCGAGCAGGGACGAUUGUGACGGUACCUGCAGAAGAAGCUCCGGCCAACUACGUGCCAGCAGCCGCGGUGAUACGUAGGGAGCGAGCGUUGUCCGGAUUCAUUGGGCGUAAAGAGCUCGUAGGCGGCUCAGUAAGUCAGGUGUGAAAUCCUCAGGCUCAACCUGGGGCUGCCAUCUGAUACUGCUGUGGCUAGAGCCCGGUAGGGGUCCACGGAAUUCCUGGUGUAGCGGUGAAAUGCGCAGAUAUCAGGAGGAACACCAGUGGCGAAGGCGGUGGACUGGGCCGGUACUGACGCUGAGGAGCGAAAGCGUGGGGAGCGAACAGGAUUAGAUACCCUGGUAGUCCACGCCGUAAACGUUGGGCACUAGGUGU